CCUACGGGAGGCAGCAGUGGGGAAUUUUGGACAAUGGGGGCAACCCUGAUCCAGCAAUGCCGCGUGAGUGAAGAAGGCCUUCGGGUUGUAAAGCUCUUUUGUCAGGAAAGAAAUCGCCUUGGUUAAUACCUGGGGUGGAUGACGGUACCUGAAGAAUAAGCACCGGCUAACUACGUGCCAGCAGCCGCGGUAAUACGUAGGGUGCAAGCGUUAAUCGGAAUUACUGGGCGUAAAGCGUGCGCAGGCGGUUGUGCAAGACAGAUGUGAAAUCCCCGGGCUCAACCUGGGAACUGCAUUUGUGACUGCACGGCUAGAGUGUGUCAGAGGGGGGUAGAAUUCCACGUGUAGCAGUGAAAUGCGUAGAUAUGUGGAGGAAUACCGAUGGCGAAGGCAGCCCCCUGGGAUAACACUGACGCUCAUGCACGAAAGCGUGGGGAGCAAACAGGAUUAGAUACCCUGGUAGUCCACGCCCUAAACGAUGUCAACUAGUUGUCGGGUCUUAAUUGACUUGGUAACGCAGCUACGCGUGAGUAGACCGCCGUCGGGUAGGUACGGUCGCGAAGAAGUUAAACGUUAAAGUAAAGUUAGUACGGACGUGAGACGUAGCCGACGGACGACGACGAGGGAGGAGG
rnacentral:rRNA from 1 species